UGGAUUUUGGAAGUUUGAACUUAAAUAGCUUUAAGAUAAUUUGGCAACCUUGUCCCUGGAAAUCUGGCACCACUGGGGCUCCUGUCUCUCAGAAUUAAAAAAAAAAUCCAGUCUCUGCACAGGCCACCCAAUAGGAGAGACGGAUCAAAGUUGCCUUUUCUUAGCAACAGAAGCCUUGCCCAGUCACCGUAGAAGAGAUCUCUGCCGAACUCCCUCCUCUUUGAAGAAACACAACAGAGUCCAAGUGAGAAGUAGCUACAGUUUAAUACAAACCUGCACCAGAACACAACGUGUCGGGCUGUUUAGUUUUUGCCUCAAACGGUGGCCAAAGCACAGGACCGUGUGUCGUCUUGGGGUUGACACAGUCUUAGCACCAUGACAUUUACAGGGGCGUGGGGAAGUCACCUGGGUGCUGGGGUGCUGGAGGCUCCAUCCCGACCCCACGCUGUGCCUGCGCCUCAGCAGCUGGAGGGGGUUUGGGUUUCCUUGUGGUUCUGUGGCUUCUGGGUCAGUAUCGGAAAAGCCCUCAGCACGACAUCGGCUUGA